UACGAUGGAGUACUUUGACACAGUCCAACCAAAACCAAAAAUUAAGUACUAUCACAUACUUUCUUUUGUUUCCCCCGAUGAUGGGGUGGAUAGUACAAAACACUGCAAUGUAAUAGUAAUGUACUACCAUUUUGGGACGGACCAAUCAGAUAUAAAUAACAACCCACCUUGGUGAUUGAAGAAGAAGCAUCGGAGAGAAUAUGAGGAAAACCAGAAACAUCAUUGAGUGCAGCGUUGGUGAACCCCAAAACCUAAUUUUCAUCUCUCUUGUUUGGGUUUCGGCAGCGCUGCACCCAAUUAUGCCUUUGGUAUAUCCUCCACGACAGGAGGCCGGCCUAUCAGAUUUUAUAGAGUUUUUUUUAUAAUCAGAAUAUACAGAAAGCUAUUCAUGUCUUUGCUUAUUCCAUCCAAGACCAACUCGCUUAAAUCUCUGUUGUUUCCAGACGACCUCGAUAGAACAAGGUAAUCUCUCUGUGUACAUGCUUCUCAACCUAAAUUUGCUGUUCUAGUGAAGCCGCCACAGUUUUUGAUAGAAUGAGGACCCAAAACCACUCUAAACUACCUGCAAAUCCAUGUUUAUAUCAAAAACUGGAUUUGGAGCUCCUAAAACUCUGCAAAUCUCUUCAAUCAUCAAUGGAUAAUCCAGAUCAAAUGUAGAGAUGACACGAACAAGCAUUCCUAAAGCUCCAAAUCCAUCUCUUCUAUGAGAAAUUGUUCUUGUGGAACAGCGGUAUGGAUGCACCGUGUUUUAGUGUGCGACCAUAUGGAAUUACAGUGAAACGAGGUGUAAUUGCAGUAUCUGGAAAAAGUGGCUUCAUUCUAGUAUCUUGUAAAGGUGGCUUCAAGCCUUCAAUAUGCGCCCGCUAAAUAACUCCAUUACUUCAGUAGCUCGUGAUGGUGUGCAAAUCCACUCCCGAAAAUCCAAAAACCAUGCAGAUGUCACUCCUGAAACUCCAAGAAAUACUUCGGCAAAUUUUGAAGACUUGAAGAUGGACACUCCAAAAAAUGUACUCUUCGAGUAUCCAUUUAUUUCUAAAGCAUUUAUCGCAGAGACCGCAGCCCAAGCCAUGGCAGUUUGUGAGCAUUAUUACUUCACAGAAAUGGCAUGCAGAGCUUAACAAAUGGUGUCCAACAGAUUGUUCUGUUUUUCUCUCUCUAUUUUAUGAUGAUGAUGCUGCGUUAAAGACAUGGCAAGCUGGCAAUAAUGGCCUCGCUCAAUACAUAACAGAAAAAAGUCCCUGGCUCUAUCAAGAUCCCCAAAGAAACAUGCUGAGGAACAUCAGUAGCACAUUGACAUGUGCCACAGAGUUGCAACGCUAACGGUGAACUUUACUAUUUUUUCCAGCCAGGAAAGCUUGUAAGCUCUCCUUUCAAGUGUUCCUCCAAGACUUAGCAUAAGCAAUAAGAGGCUAGAUGAAAGUUCAAUUCAUCAUGUCUCGGAAAUGGAUAGAAAUGAAACAGAUGGUUACAAGUAAUUCCUGGAAAAAGGAACUAAAAGACAAAAUAUAUUCCAAAUCCAAAUUUUGGCUCUUAUUCAUUCAUAUGUGAUACA